CAUAAUGCUCUCUUUUCUUCUCAACUCAACGGCUCCAAUUUAACUCAAACAAAACAAACAUCUUCUUCUUCUAUUUCAUAUUAAAUACCACAUACAAAUAAAGAAUGCCACAAACAUCAAAGUAAAAAAAAGGUUACCGGAAAGCAUGGGUCACGGAUGGAAGAUACGAAAACUCCAUGGAAAGAUGGAGCGGUUCGCGUCGAAGCUGUUGUGUAGUGGCGGUGACCGAAAUCUCUCUCGCGGUGGGCGGAUUCUUCUGGCGGCGGUUUGCUAAGUUGUUGUGAAUGAGGUUUGACCAUGAUGAGGUCAAUUGUGAAUGAUGAUGAUGUAUGCAUGAGGAAGGGUAUGGAAAGCACCUGAAGACUUGUUGCAACAAACAAAUUCUAUUUCCUCCUUCUUUUUAUUUUUUGUAAUAUUCGUUAUGAGAUGAAUAAGACAAACUCCUCAUUAUAACAUUUUGUAUUAUUUGGGUUAUACCAUGUAAAUAAUAAAAUGCAAAGUAUACAAUUAGCAUCAA